rnacentral:rRNA from 1 species
CCUACGGGGGGCUGCAGUCGAGAAUCUUCGGCAAUGGGCGAAAGCCUGACCGAGCGACGCCGCGUGCGGGAUGAAGGCCUUCGGGUUGUAAACCGCUGUCAGAGGGGAUGAAGUGUCCGUGGGUUCUCCCAUGGAAUUGACAGAUCCUCAGAGGAAGGGUGGGCUAAGUUCGUGCCAGCAGCCGCGGUAAGACGUACCACCCGAACGUUAUUCGGAUUCACUGGGCUUAAAGAGUCCGUAGGCGGCCUAGUAAGUUGGAUGUGAAAUACCUCGGCUCAACCGAGGAACGGCAUCCAAAACUACUGGGCUUGAGAGAUACAGAGGUGAGCGGAACUGAUGGUGGAGCGGUGAAAUGCGUUGAUAUCAUCAGGAACACCGGUGGCGAAAGCGGCUCACUGGGUAUCUUCUGACGCUGAGGGACGAAAGCUAGGGUAGCGAACGGGCUUAGAUACCCCAGUAGUC